GCCUUAGUAGCUCAGUUGGUUAGAGCGUCAGUCUCAUAGUAUCUGGAGGUCGACAGUUCGAACCUGCCCUGAGGCA